GCCGCUCCCGCAGCAUAUGGAGGUUCCCAGGCUAGGGGUCUAAUCGGAGCUGUAGCCACCAGCCUACGCCAGAGCCACAGCAACGCGGGAUCCAAGCAGCGGCUGCAACCUACACGGCAGCUCAUCGCAACGCUGGAUCCUUAACCCACAAGCAAGGCCUGGGAUCGAACCUGCAACCUCAUGGUUCCUAGUCGGAUUCGUUUACCACUAUGCCACGACGGGAACUCCACAGUCAGAUGCUUUUAAGAGAAGGUUUUAUGUGUCCAAUUCUUGCAUCUCUUCACAUCUUAGAAAAAAACGCUAAAAUCCUUCAUGGUGUUGUCUGCUCCUUGCGACCUUCAGGAGACCAGCCACAAACUUUGGUACAAUGUGUUGCUGGCUCACACCGUGCACCUCAGCUCGCCUUUAUCCACAUCCUGAUACCCCCACUUUCCUCUUGGGGGCGGUAUUUCAGAGCUAGCCCAGUCUGUAGUUAAGGAUACUACAAAGGAUGUCCCCGUCAUCUGUGAAUUGCAGUCUCUCCAAGGGCGCAAGCUGGUGAGUCCUGCAGGCUGUGACACUCAACAUCUCACCAAAACAUUUUCUCCGGGAAUUAUUGUGGUAGUUCCACAUUCAGCACUGCUGGGAAGUGCUAGGAGCGGGCUGCUUAAUGUCUCUGUUGUCAGUUUCCCAGUUUCUUCGCAGUUGUAUUUCUAGCCUGAAGUUGCAUCUGGUACAUAGCAGGUGCUCAGUAAAUGUUUGUUCAAUGAAUAAAUGCAUGAAUUAUCUGAAAUGUCAUAUUUUUCACUCUCCCAUGCCUUGGCAUAUGUUAAUUGCUUCAGUCUAAAAGCUCCUACUCCUUGCAGCAGUUACCUUUGGAUGUGUGCCUAACUCGCAAUAACUCUCUUUUGGGGAGCUGUCUCCCUCCCAUCCACAAAGUCACCAAGGUGGGUCCGAGGGAGCCCUAUUCCUGUCUUGGAUGCUGCCCCUAGACCACAACCAAUUUCUGGGGUGGGGCAACCUGACCCAAGUUGGGCCAAGGCCUCUGCCCCAGCAAUUUGGAAUCGGGGUUUGAUAUUCCAGCCUUACUCUGGGCUUGUCUUCAGAAUGGGACACAUUUGGGGAAAAAAAAAAGGGGGGGAGCCACAGUAUGACUGUCAACUACCCCUGCAACUUAAGUAGCAGGGGGAAAAAUUCAGAUGUGCAGAGAGCAGAAGAGAAAGAAACAGGCUAUGGUCAAGGAGUGGAGGGCGUGCUAUGAUGCGCCACCCUGGAUCCUGCAAGGGCCGAGCCGUCAUUCCUCCAGCCCGCGGCGAAUGUCAGCUGUGACAGUUGAGGUCUUCCCUGAGACCCGCCCCUCACGGAAGGGACCUGCCACGUCCGAGGACAUGGCCUCCCCAGGGCAUUCCAUCACCACGGACCGGUCCUUAUACCCCAGUCAAUGCCCUCGCCAAUGUACAAAGGGCUGGUGACAACCAUCCCAGCUCCUGAGCUUCCCAUGGAAUCGUGUAAGGUUCCCAGCUGAAUCCAGGUUCAACUUCUGCCCUGCGCAGCUGCUCAGAUUUGCUAAAAGGCUGCUUCCUGAGAGGCUGAGCGAUGAGUGUUCUGUAUGCAUGAAUAAGAGAGUGCAGCUCUGCUUCCCAGGGCACCUAACCCAAGACACCAGGCUUACAGUGCAAAGGCACUGGUGGUAAAACAACUGAUGAUUGCUGUGAUGAGGCAGAGGUUCUUCCCAAGAAGCACCUCGGCUUCCUUGCUGGCCCUAGCGAGGGGCCUCCUUAAAUUAACCUUUCCUAAAUGAAACAUAGUUUGCAGGUCAGGGUGGUAAGCAUUUUGGCCUCCAGCAUAGCAGCUGAGACCCCCAGGGCCACCUGGAGAGGGAGGUAAAGUUUGGCCUUGGCACCUGGUCCUUUUUACAAAUCUCUCCCGACCCCUGCCCCUGCCCCCCAGCUCUAGGGUGGGCAUGUGAGGUGCUGCACCCAGCCCAGCCCCCUUCUCUCAUUCAACGUGGAUUGAGGGGCCACAAGGUGCGGGGCUCCUUCUCUGACCCAUCUCACUGUCAAAGUGCCCUGGACCGGCUCCCAUCUCUGAUCCCUGCGGCAGGCGACGCACAGGUGCAUUAUCUUCCACCAGUGGCAUUUUCACCAUGGGGCUUCGUCUUGGUUCCUGUCUCUGGUUUCAGGGAAUUUCCUCCUCUGGGGAGACAGCAGCUCAGUCCCUAUGUAGACUUUGGGGAAGACUCCAGGCUGAAGGCGUCGUAGACACUCAGAGGCCCUCAGAUGGUCCAGAACCCCUGAGAGGUUCCGAACCCCUCUUGUUGCAACUGAGGAAACAGAGUAUUUGAACCAAUCCUGCAACCCAGGACAGGCAGAUGGGGAAAUGCUUUCCACUGACUGAGGUUCAAUUCGAUUCUCUCGACACCCAGCAUCUGCCGCCUCCCGCCCUUGGGAGGGUUUCCAGGAGCGAAUCUGAUUCUUGGCGCGCGCGGGUACCGUGGGGAGCGGAGCGAGGGCGCGCGGGGGCCGCGCCACGCCCGGGGGGCUGCGGGUGGGUCCAGAGCCGCUCUGCGGCCAGGGCGGCCAAGAAGAGGGAGAAACUCGUCUCCACUGCGCCCCCCCGCCCCCAAGUCCCGUUCUCCCUCUUUCUAGAAGCCCUCCUCUAUCCUGGCUGCGACUUGUGCGACUCUUUUUUUGGCGAAAGAAACCUUACCGAAUCGAGGGCACUAGAGCGGCGGCACCAAGGGAAGGCAGGGUGGUGUCUGUUGGAGGCUUUUAUCCUUGGAGCGUAGAAUUAGAGGAAGAGCCCUUCCGCAGACCCCGAAUUCCCGCUGCGCGCGACGGCCCGGGCCGUGGCAGGAUCCCAAACACUCAGUGCCGCGUGGACCUUGGGCGGCGGGAACCUCGGACGCCGGUCGGCUCCCAGGAAGCCCUGCGGCCCCU
rnacentral:lncRNA from 1 species